rnacentral:rRNA from 1 species
GACGAACGCUGGCGGCGUGCCUAAUACAUGCAAGUCGAGCGCAGGAAACUGACGGAACUCUUCGGAGGGAAGGCAGCGGAAUGAGCGGCGGACGGGUGAGUAACACGUAAGGAACCUGCCUCAAGGAUUGGGAUAACUCCGAGAAAUCGGAGCUAAUACCGGAUAGUUCAACGGACCGCAUGGUCCGCUGAUGAAAGGCGCUUCGGCGUCACCUUGAGAUGGCCUUGCGGUGCAUUAGCUAGUUGGUGGGGUAACGGCCCACCAAGGCGACGAUGCAUAGCCGACCUGAGAGGGUGAUCGGCCACACUGGGACUGAGACACGGCCCAGACUCCUACGGGAGGCAGCAGUAGGGAGUCUUCCACAAUGGACGAAAGUCUGAUGGAGCAACGCCGCGUGAGUGAUGAAGGUUUUCGGAUCGUAGAACUCUGUUGUAAGGGAAGAACACGUACGAGAGGAAAUGCUCGUACCUUGACGGUACCUUACGAGAAAGCCACGGCUAACUACGUGCCAGCCGCCGCCGUAAUAC